AGAGUUGAUCCUGGCUCAGGACGAACGCUGGCGGCGUGCUUAACACAUGCAAGUCGAACGGGGACUUCGGUCCUAGUGGCAAACGGGUGAGUAAUGCGUAAAUAACCUACCUCAAAGAUGGGGACAACAACUCGAAAGGGUUGCUAAUACCGGAUGUUGUGAUAUUGUCGCAUGGUGAUGUUAUUAAAGAUUUAUCGCUUUGAGAGGGGUUUGCGUCCGAUUAGGUAGUUGGUUGGGUAAAGGCUAACCAAGCCGACGAUCGGUAACCGGUCUGAGAGGAUGAACGGUCACAUUGGAACUGAGAGACGGUCCAGACUCCUACGGGAGGCAGCAGUGGGGAAUAUUCCACAAUGGGGGGAACCCUGAUGGAGCGACGCCGCGUGAGUGAAGAAGGGUUUCGACUCGUAAAGCUCUUUUCUACUUGACGAAUGGUACUUUAGAAGUAUAGGGACGGUAAAGUAGGAAUAAGCCACGGCUAACUACGUGCC
rnacentral:rRNA from 1 species